rnacentral:rRNA from 1 species
UGGGGAAUAUUGCACAAUGGGCGCAAGCCUGAUGCAGCCAUGCCGCGUGUGUGAAGAAGGCCUUCGGGUUGUAAAGCACUUUCAGCGGGGAGGAAGGCGAUAAGGUUAAUAACCUUGUCGAUUGACGUUACCCGCAGAAGAAGCACCGGCUAACUCCGUGCCAGCAGCCGCGGUAAUACGGAGGGUGCAAGCGUUAAUCGGAAUUACUGGGCGUAAAGCGCACGCAGGCGGUCUGUCAAGUCGGAUGUGAAAUCCCCGGGCUUAACCUGGGAACUGCAUUCGAAACUGGCAGGCUAGAGUCUUGUAGAGGGGGGUAGAAUUCCAGGUGUAGCGGUGAAAUGCGUAGAGAUCUGGAGGAAUACCGGUGGCGAAGGCGGCGCCCUGGACGAAGACUGACGCUCAGGUGCGAAAGCGUGGGGAGCAAACAGG